rnacentral:rRNA from 1 species
UACGUAGGGUGCGAGCGUUGUCCGGAAUUACUGGGCGUAAAGGGCGCGUAGGCGGCCUACUAAGUCAGACGUGAAAUCCCCCGGCUUAACCUGGGAACUGCGUCUGAUACUGGAAGGCUUGAGUAUGGGAGAGGGAUGUAGAAUUCCAGGUGUAGCGGUGAAAUGCGUAGAUAUCUGGAGGAAUACCGGUGGCGAAGGCGGCAUCCUGGACCAUUACUGACGCUAAGGCGCGAAAGCUAGGGGAGCAAACGGG